GCCCUUACCAAGACACAAAGUUUGACAAGUGAUCCGUAAGUAAGGUUUUCUAACCCCUUAGCUCACUUGUAUCCCAACUUUCAUUUGAAAAAGCAGCAACAUGAAAGCCGUCGUGAAGUUGGGAUUGAAGAUGAACCAGCUGUCGUCCUUCAACAGACCCCUCGGAAACGCCUGAACGAGGAGGUGUCUCGGUCCUCAGGCGACUCAUCACAAACACAAUUUCCGGCUUUCAAGACUGCUCCUAGCGGCCAGGCUAAACCAAGAAGGCGAAGGCAGCAAAACCGGCGGAAGACCCGCCAGUGCUAGCAUCUGACCCGGCUAGGCCGCCUUUGUAACACCCCGGAUAUGAUUUUCCUAUUUUGUAAUCCAACUCUUGCCGUUUCCGGCGUUAAGUUAUUUU